GACGAACGCUGGCGGCGUGCUUAACACAUGCAAGUCGAACGAUGAAGCUAGAGCUUGCUCUGGUGGAUUAGUGGCGAACGGGUGAGUAACACGUGAGUAACCUGCCCCGAACUCUGGGAUAACUGCUGGAAACGGUAGCUAAUACCGGAUAUGACCAAUGAAUGCAUCUUCUGUUGGUGGAAAGAAUUUCGGUUCGGGAUGGACUCGCGGCCUAUCAGCUUGUUGGUGAGGUAACGGCUCACCAAGGCGACGACGGGUAGGCGGCCUGAGAGGGUGAUCGGCCACACUGGGACUGAGACACGGCCCAGACUCCUACGGGAGGCAGCAGUGGGGAAUAUUGCACAAUGGGCGCAAGCCUGAUGAAGCAACGCCGCGUGAGGGACGACGGCCUUCGGGUUGUAAACCUCUUUUAGUAGGGAAGAAGCGAAAGUGACGGUACCUGCAGAAAAAGCACCGGCUAACUACGUGCCAGCCGCCGCAGUAA
rnacentral:rRNA from 1 species